UACGAAGGGGGCUAGCGUUGCUCGGAAUCACUGGGCGUAAAGGGUGCGUAGGCGGGUCUUUAAGUCAGGGGUGAAAUCCUGGAGCUCAACUCCAGAACUGCCUUUGAUACUGAAGAUCUUGAGUUCGGGAGAGGUGAGUGGAACUGCGAGUGUAGAGGUGAAAUUCGUAGAUAUCUGGAGGAACACCGGUGGCGAAGGCGGCAUCCUGGACCGAGAUUGACGCUGAACAGCGAAAGCUAGGGGAGCAAACGGG
rnacentral:rRNA from 1 species